CGGUACCGGGGUUACGGGGAGGUAAACGUAAACCGUACGGGUAGCUAAUCUACCCUGGAGUGGGGAAUAACGCUGGGAAACCGGCGCUAAUACCGCAUAAUCCCGAGAGGGCAAAGGAGCAAUUCGCUUCAGGAGGAGUCCGCGGCCGAUUAGCUAGUUGGCAGGGUAAAAGCCUACCAAGGCAACGAUCGGUAGCCGGCCUGAGAGGGCACACGGCCACACUGGCACUGAAACACGGGCCAG
rnacentral:rRNA from 1 species